UACGGGGGAGCAAGCGUUGUUCGGAUUUACUGGGCGUAAAGGGCGCGUAGGCGGCCACCGCAAGUCGACUGUGAAAUCUCCGGGCUUGAACUCGGAACGGUCAAGUGAUACUGUCGUGCUAGAGUACAGAAGGGGCAACUGGAAUUCUCGGUGUAGCGGUGAAAUGCGUAGAUAUCGAGAGGAACACCUGCGGCGAAGGCGGGUUGCUGGGCUGAUACUGACGCUGAGGCGCGAAAGCCAGGGGAGCGAACGGG
rnacentral:rRNA from 1 species